rnacentral:rRNA from 1 species
UACGGAGGGGGCUAGCGUUAUUCGGAAUUAUUGGGCGUAAAGGGCGCGUAGGCGGCCCGGUAAGUCAAAGGUGAAAUCCCUCGGCUCAACUGAGGAACUGCCUUUGAAACUGUCGGGCUUGAGGCCGGGAGGGGGUAGCGGAAUUCCCAGUGUAGCGGUGAAAUGCGUAGAUAUUGGGAGGAACACCGGUGGCGAAGGCGGCUACCUGGACCGGUUCUGGCGCUGAUGCGCGAAAGCGUGGGUAGCAAACAGG